GUGGGGAAUAUUCCGCAAUGGGUGAAAGCCUGACGGAGCGACGCCGCGUGGACGAUGAAGGUCUUCGGAUUGUAAAGUCCUGUAGAGGGGGAAGAAGGGUCAUCGCAAGAUGAUUUGACAGUACUCCUAAAGUAAGCUACGGCAAACUCUGUGCCAGCAGCCGCGGUAAUACAGAGGUAGCUAGCGUUGUUCGGAAUGACUGGGUGUAAAGAACAUGUAGGCGGUUUUGUAAGUUGAAUGUGAAAUCCAUUGGCUUAACCAAUGAACUGCAUUCAAAACUGCAUUACUUGAGUACGGGAGAGGAAAGUGGAAUUUCUGGUGUAGCGGUGAAAUGCGUAGAUAUCAGAAGGAACACCUGUGGCGAAGGCGACUUUCUGGCCCGUAACUGACGCUGAGAUGUGAAAGCUAGGGGAGCAAACAGGAUUAGAUACCCUGGUAGUCC
rnacentral:rRNA from 1 species